GGGGGCGUAGGUCAGUGGUAGACCGGCGGACUUUUAAUCCGCGCGUCGGGAGUUCGAUCCUCCCCGUCCCCA
rnacentral:tRNA from 2 species